rfam:Allochromatium vinosum DSM 180, complete genome.
GUCAACUACCCCGGCCUGAAGGCCGGAGCUUGAAAGAGCUGGGUUGACCAGGGACAGCGGUGAACAUCCGCUGCGUUUGCAACAGGUCGUUGAGACCCACUCCGGAAUGCUUCCUCAGUCCCGGACCCUGGAAGGUCGGAAUCAUGCAGGCGAAAGGCAAAGCGCCGAAGGUUCCGAUCGCCGCCGCGCGGCGGGAGCCGGUUGCAGACAUUCCCGAGGGGAGCGAGCC